AUGAACGCUGGCGGCGUGCCUAAUACAUGCAAGUCGAGCGAACAGACGAGGAGCUUGCUCCUCUGACGUUAGCGGCGGACGGGUGAGUAACACGUGGAUAACCUACCUAUAAGACUGGGAUAACUUCGGGAAACCGGAGCUAAUACCGGAUAAUAUAUUGAACCGCAUGGUUCAAUAGUGAAAGACGGUUUUGCUGUCACUUAUAGAUGGAUCCGCGCCGCAUUAGCUAGUUGGUAAGGUAACGGCUUACCAAGGCAACGAUGCGUAGCCGACCUGAGAGGGUGAUCGGCCACACUGGAACUGAGACACGGUCCAGACUCCUACGGGAGGCAGCAGUAGGGAAUCUUCCGCAAUGGGCGAAAGCUUGACGGAGCAACGCCGCGUGAGUGAUGAAGGUCUUCGGAUCGUAAAACUCUGUUAUUAGGGAAGAACAAAUGUGCAAGUAACUAUGCACGUCUUGACGGUACCUAAUCAGAAAGCCACGGCUAACUACGUG
rnacentral:rRNA from 1 species